rnacentral:rRNA from 1 species
UACGGAGGGUGCUAGCGUUGUCCGGAAUCAUUGGGCGUAAAGGGCGCGUAGGUGGCGGCUUAAGCGUGCGGUGAAAGCUCGGGGCUCAACCCCGAGUCGGCCGUGCGAACUGAGUCGCUUGAGCACUGUAGAGGCAGGCGGAAUUCCGGGUGUAGCGGUGGAAUGCGUAGAGAUCCGGAAGAACACCGGUGGCGAAGGCGGCCUGCUGGGCAGUAGCUGACACUGAGGCGCGACAGCGUGGGGAGCAAACAGG